rnacentral:rRNA from 1 species
AACGAACGCUGGCGGCAGGCUUAACACAUGCAAGUCGAACGCCUAUAGCAAUAUAGGAGUGGCGCACGGGUGAGUAAUACUUGGGAACGUGCCUUAGAGUCUGGGAUAACUACUGGAAACGGUAGCUAAUACCGGAUAUUCCCUCCGGGGGAAAGAUUUAUCGCUCUAAGAUCGGCCCAAGCCAGAUUAGCUAGUUGGUGAGGUAAUGGCUCACCAAGGCUCCGAUCUGUAGCUGUUCUGAGAGGAAGACCAGCCACACUGGAACUGAGACACGGUCCAGACUCCUACGGGAGGCAGCAGUGGGGAAUAUUGGACAAUGGGCGAAAGCCUGAUCCAGCCAUGCCGCGUGAGUGAUGAAGGCCUUAGGGUUGUAAAGCUCUUUUGCCAGGGAAGAUGAUGACGGUACCUGGAGAAUAAGCACCGGCUAACUCUGUGCCAGCCGCCGCAGUAA